UGGGGAAUCUUGGGCAAUGGGCGAAAGCCUGACCCAGCAACGCCGCGUGAAGGAUGAAGUAUUUCGGUAUGUAAACUUCGAAAGAAUAGGAAGAAUAAAUGACGGUACUUUUAUAAGGUCCGGCUAACUACGUGCCAGCAGCCGCGGUAAUACGUAGGGACCAAGCGUUGUUCGGAUUUACUGGGCGUAAAGGGCGCGUAGGCGGCAAUUCAAGUCAUCUGUGAAAUCUCCGGGCUUAACUCGGAACGGUCAGAUGAUACUGCUUUGCUAGAGUGCAGAAGGGGCAAUCGGAAUUCUUGGUGUAGCGGUGAAAUGCGUAGAUAUCAAGAGGAACACCUGAGGUGAAGACGGGUUGCUGGGCUGACACUGACGCUGAGGCGCGAAAGCCAGGGGAGCAAACGGGAUUAGAUACCCUGGUAGUCCCUGAGCGGGCUGGCAAGGCGCAU
rnacentral:rRNA from 1 species